CCCUAUUAUACUUAAAUUAAAUUUUAUUUUAAGUAGUAAAUGUUAAAAUCACGGAAACUUAAAGAAUUGGCGGCGGUAUUUAUUCUAAUUAGAGGAAUAUGUUUUUUAAAUGAUAAUCCACAAAAAUCUUACUUAAUUUUAUUUAUUUUGUAUAUCUCCGUUAAAAAUUUUUUUAAAAAUAAAAUUUAAGACUCUAAAAAGAAAUAAUUCAGGUCAAGGUGCAGAAAAUAAUUAAGUUAAAAUGUAUUACAAUAAAUAUAUUUAUGGAAUUUUUAUUAAAAUUAAAUUGAAAUUGGAUUUAAAAGUAAAUUUGUUUUAAUUAUA
rnacentral:rRNA from 1 species